rnacentral:rRNA from 1 species
AGUGAACGCUGGCGGUAGGCCUAACACAUGCAAGUCGAACGGCAGCACAGUAAGAGCUUGCUCUUACGGGUGGCGAGUGGCGGACGGGUGAGGAAUACAUCGGAAUCUACUUUUUCGUGGGGGAUAACGUAGGGAAACUUACGCUAAUACCGCAUACGACCUACGGGUUAAAGCAUGGGAUCUUCGGACCUUGCGCGAUUGAAUGAGCCGAUGUCGGAUUAGCUAGUUGGCGGGGUAAAGGCCCACCAAGGCGACGAUCCGUAGCUGGUCUGAGAGGAUGAUCAGCCACACUGGAACUGAGACACGGUCCAGACUCCUACGGGAGGCAGCAGUGGGGAAUAUUGGACAAUGGGCGCAAGCCUGAUCCAGCCAUACCGCGUGGGUGAAGAAGGCCUUCGGGUUGUAAAGCCCUUUUGUUGGGAAAGAAAAGCAGCAGGUUAAUACCCCGCUGUUCUGACGGUACCCAAAGAAUAAGCACCGGCUAACUUCGUG